AUUGAACGCUGGCGGCAGGCCUAACACAUGCAAGUCGAGCGGAUGAAGGGAGCUUGCUCCUGGAUUCAGCGGCGGACGGGUGAGUAAUGCCUAGGAAUCUGCCUGGUAGUGGGGGAUAACGUCCGGAAACGGGCGCUAAUACCGCAUACGUCCUGAGGGAGAAAGUGGGGGAUCUUCGGACCUCACGCUAUCAGAUGAGCCUAGGUCGGAUUAGCUAGUUGGUGGGGUAAAGGCCUACCAAGGCGACGAUCCGUAACUGGUCUGAGAGGAUGAUCAGUCACACGGGAAGUGAGACACGGCCCAGACUCCUACGGGAGGCAGCAGUGGGGAAUAUUGGACAAUGGGCGAAAGCCUGAUCCAGCCAUGCCGCGUGUGUGAAGAAGGUCUUCGGAUUGUAAAGCACUUUAAGUUGGGAGGAAGGGCAGUAAGUUAAUACCUUGCUGUUUUGACGUUACCAACAGAAUAAGCACCGGCUAACUUCGUG
rnacentral:rRNA from 1 species